rnacentral:rRNA from 1 species
GACGAACGCUGGCGGUGUGCUUAACACAUGCAAGUCGAACGGUAAGGCCCUUUCGGGGGUACACGAGUGGCGAACGGGUGAGUAACACGUGAGUAACCUGCCCUCAUCUCUGGGAUAACAGUCGGAAACGGUUGCUAAUACUGGAUAUGAGCUUGCACGGCAUCUUGUGGGUUGGAAAGAUUUUUUUUGGUCGGGGAUGUACUCGCGGCCUAUCAGCUUGUUUGUGAGGUAGUGGCUCACCAAGGCUUCGACGGGUAGCCAGCCUGAGAGGGCGACCGGCCACAGUGAGACGGAGAUGCGACCCAAACUCCUACGGGGGGCAGCAGUGGGGAAUAUUGCACAAUGGACGGAAGUCUGAUGCAGCAACGCCGCGUGCGGGAUGACGGCCUUCGGGUUGUAAACCGCUUUCAAUUGUGACGAAGCUUUUUUGUGACGGUAGCAGUAGAAGAAGCACCGGCUAACUACGUG